GCGUCGGUGACGGAGUGGCCAAUCGUACGCGACUGUAAAUCGCGCGGCUUUAUGCCUACGCAGGUUCGAAUCCUGCCCGGCGCACCA
rnacentral:tRNA from 2 species